rnacentral:sRNA from 1 species
AUUCUGCCCAAGCGGGGAAGGAUGAGAAGCUUCGACUAAGGUUCGACUCGGGCGCCAGCGAGAGAGCGUUGCCGCAGGCAACGACCCGAAGGGCGAAGCGCGCAGCGCUAGUAAUCCUUCCCCCACCACCA